GGUGGUAAAGCUCAAUGGUAGAGCACACACUUAGCAUUCAUGAGGUCCUAGGUUCAAUCCUCAGUACCUCUG
rnacentral:tRNA from 1 species